rnacentral:rRNA from 1 species
UGCCUACGGGUGGCAGCAGUGGGGAAUAUUGGACAAUGGGGGAAACCCUGAUCCAGCAAUGCCGCGUGUGUGAAGAAGGCCUUAGGGUUGUAAAGCACUUUCGCCCGCGAAGAUGAUGACGGUAGCGGGAGAAGAAGCCCCGGCUAACUCCGUGCCAGCAGCCGCGGUAAUACGGAGGGGGCUAGCGUUGUUCGGAAUUACUGGGCGUAAAGAGCGCGUAGGCGGCUUAUUGAGUUAGGCGUGCAAGGCCUGAGCUGAACCUGGGAACUGCGCUUAAUACGGAUAGGCUUGAGUCCGGAAGGGGGUGGCGGAAUUCCCAGUGUAGAGGUGAAAUUCGUAGAUAUUGGGAAGAACACCGGUGGCGAAGGCGGCCACCUGGUCCGGAACUGACGCUGAGGUGCGAAAGCGUGGGGAGCAAACAGGAUUAGAUACCCCUGUAGUC